GGACUGGUGGGGGAACGGAUUUGACAAGGGGUUCAAGUAUGUUCAACCUUGUAGUACAUGAUUUGCUGACCUUUUUGUUCAUUUAGCUUCGGUUUUUCUUUGUGAUUCUUUACCUUGUUUUGGUUUCAUACACUGAUUUUAUCUAGGCUAAGGCUAAUUACAACUUUAUAAGCAUAAUGAAUAUUUCAAGGCUAAAUUAGAAGGAUGUUUUGGACAC
rnacentral:lncRNA from 1 species